GUGUUUGUUUGCUCGGGUAACUGGCAUAUGACCAGCUACACUCUUACUAACGCUGUUAAUUGGCUGAUGGAGUCCCCGGUCGGACAGAGACGCUGCCCACUGCAAUUACAACAACCAGAUCUAUUGUUGACAUCUAUAUUUGUGAAGUUCGUAGUCCCUUUUGGUUAAUAAUUAAUAAAUAUAUUUGUUAUUGUACUGCUGGAUGUUUCGCCAUGGGCGUUGGACGGAUAAGAAUGGGCUCGCGGCAAACACACACGGAUGGUAGUGAUUGCUUGCUUGGGGUUGCGACACGAAUAUGGAUGGAUAAAUGGAUCGCAGUGAAAUGUAAUGCAGUGCAGCACGAGUAUGCUGCCACUAUACGUCGGCGACAUUAAUACGACAACGUUGACGACACCGCUGACGCGAACGAAUCGCAUGUGAGCACAAGUGGGAGCGUUAUUCAGUGGGAGCUUUUACAUUUCGCGCAGACAAUUCGCACACAUUAGCCCCACUUGCUUUCCUUGUUACUUCUGUAUGUAGCUUGGAGAAUGUAAAGAGAGAGAUAGAGAGAGAGUGGAAGAGUUACAGUAUUUUAAGGCACUGAAAAGUGGAACUAAGGUUGGUAAUGGGUCGUUUUGCCCGGCAAACAAACAAAAUGUUUAAAUAAUAAUCCGAUCAUACUCCGCGUUCAUCUAUGAGCCAUAUUCGUAUUUCAGAAAGUGCAAUCAAAUGAUGACCUACAUCAAUUGGUCCAUUAGGUGCCCAAUAACGUUAAAUUUUUACUUUAAUAAGUUGUUGUGCGAUUUAUAAAGAAAUAUGUGUUCUAUAUGUACUAUAAAAAGGGUAUAUGCAAACUUUUGGCCCAUUUAAGAAGGAAUAUUAAUAAAUAGUGAGGCGCCAAUAGACCUAAGGUCGCGAUGCAAUCCUCAUGUAAUAAUCAAUCCAUAAAUGAAUAAUAAAAUGGUAUUCAUAUAGGAAUCACCGUACUGUAAAUUUUCAUUUCGUUUAAGAAGAAGGUUGAAAGAUUGUUAAAUUUAACCAAUGUUUGUAUACAUACAUAUGUAUGCCUGCAAGUGUUCAUAAUCUCUCUCACCUGUGCUCUUACUCGCACACUACGCUACUCUCAGAGCUAACAUAGAAGCGAUGCUCAACUUGACACUUUGACAACAAGUAUAAACAUUGUUGUUGUUAUAUUUAAUUUAUAUUUUUUCUUUUUUUCACUUCGAAAGCGAUAAGUAAUUGAAGAAACCAAAACAACUGCACCUACUUACAUACAAAAUAUAUACAUACAUACAUAGAUAUGCACAUACAUUUAUACAUUGUACUGGCUGCUCUUGCUAAAGUUUUUGUAAGAAUUCUUAAAAGAUUUCGUAACCACUUCGUUUCGGCUCCAUUGAUUCACAUUUACCGCUGGCUUUACGCCGACCGCACGCUGACUGUUGACGAAGUUAAAAGUAGCAAAGUGCAGCGGAAGGCAUGCAUUCGGCUCUCACGAAAGCCCGAAGCGUCAACACAGAUCUUUACUUCCAUUUCGCUUCAGCAAAACUUCACCAUCACUUGGCCAAACACUCGUGCACUCGCUGCUCCAAUGAAAUGCAAUCAAAUUUGCUGCCUCAGCGUUUAGCGCUCAGCUCAGCGUUGCUCGGUUCUCCUCAGUACGAACAAGGCUAAAACAGCGCCGGCAGCGUUAAUGGCAAGAGCAUGGGGUUUGCUCGAUUGGGGUGCGUUGCGAAAUAUGGCAAUAAUGCAAUGGUAAUGCUGCGAAUGUUAUUCCCCGCUAACAUUGUUGUUGUGGCGAAUGUUGGCAGAGCUGCCGUCGUCAUUGUCCUCGUUUGACUUCAGCUAUCUCAGCGUUUUUGUCGCUGGAAAAAUUGACUGUCCAAAGUGCCGAAAUGGCGAGUUUUGCUUUGUUUGCAUAAAGGUAUGUAUAUAUGUAUGCAUACAUGUAUGUGUGUGCAACAGGUUAAAAUUGCAGCAACAGCGUGGAAGAGUUGGUUUCUCCUUCUUGCAAUUCUUUUGAUUUGAGGUAAUUUAGUUGUUUUUUCUUUCAUUUUUUUGUUGAGCUCUGUAGCGUUGUGGUGUAUUGCGUAAGGGCGGCAAUUGUAAUUCUCUUCGCUUAAUGUUGUUGUUGGGAUUUUUUUCCCUUCUAAUGAGUCCAAGAAAUUAUCAGGCAGAACGUGGUUGGAUUGCGAGAAGGGGAAUCGCGUAAUAUUAUUACUGGAGGAUACAUAGAAGGGUAAAUGAUAAAAGGUCAUACGUUAGUCCAUAGAGUAUAGGAUUUGAAG